ACGGGUGAGUAACACGUGGAUAAUCUGCCCUUUAGUGGGGAAUACCGCUGGGAAACCGGCGACAAUACCGCAUAAGCUCGAGAGAGGAAAGCAGCAAUGCGCUGAAGGAGGAGUCCGCGGUCGAUUAGCUAGUUGGUGAGGUAAUGGCUCACCAAGGCUGUGAUCGAUAGCCGGCCUGAGAGGGCACACGGCCACACUGGCACUGAAACACGGGCCAGACUCCUACGGGAGGCAGCAGUGGGGAAUCUUGCACAAUGGGGGAAACCCUGAUGCAGCGACGCCGCGUGAGCGAUGAAGCCCUUCGGGGUGUAAAGCUCUUUCGGCAGGGAAGAUUAUGACGGUACCUGCAGAAGCAGCUGCGGCUAACUACGUGCCAGCAGCCGCGG
rnacentral:rRNA from 1 species